rnacentral:rRNA from 1 species
UUUCAAGUCUUUAAGAGCAAACGGUGAAUGCCUUGGCAUCUGGAGCCGAAGAAGGACGUAGCAAUCUGCGAUAAGCCUCGGGGAGUGGAUAAGCACACUUUGAUCCGAGGAUGUCCGAAUGGGGAAACCCCGCUGGGCGGCGUGCCGACCCAGUGACUCCCGCCUGAAUAUAUAGGGCGGGUAGAGGGAACGUGGGGAAGUGAAACAUCUCAGUACCCACAGGAAGAGAAAGCAACCGCGAUUCCGUUAGUAGUGGCGAGCGAAACCGGAACAGGCUAAACCGAGUACGUGUGAUAUCCGGCAGGAGUUGCGUAUUCGGGGUUGUGGGACUUUUCAGGCUGCUCUGCCGAGCAGCCAGCGUGACAAGAAGGUAUAGACGAACUGGAUUGAAAGCCAGGUCAUAGAGGGUGCGAACCCCGUAGUCGAAAUGCCUCACUUGGCGCGAAGAGUAUCCCAAGUAGCACGGGGCCCGAGAAAUCCCGUGUGAAUCUGUCAGGACCACCUGAUAAGCCUAAAUACUCCCAGAUGACCGAUAGCGGACAAGUACCGUGAGGGAAAGGUGAAAAGUACCCCGGGAGGGGAGUGAAAUAGUACCUGAAACCGUUUGCUUACAAACCGUUGGAGCCUCCCUAGCAGGGGUGACAGCGUGCCUUUUGAAGAAUGAGCCUGCGAGUUAGCGAUACGUGGCGAGGUUAACCCGUGUGGGGUAGCCGUAGCGAAAGCGAGUCUGAAUAGGGCGAUUCAGUCGCGUGUCCUAGACCCGAAGCGAAGUGAUCUAUCCAUGGCCAGGUUGAAGCGACGGUAAGACGUCGUGGAGGACCGAACCCACUUAGGUUGAAAACUGAGGGGAUGAGCUGUGGAUAGGGGUGAAAGGCCAAUCAAACUUCGUGAUAGCUGGUUCUCUCCGAAAUGCAUUUAGGUGCAGCGUUGCGUGUUUCUUGCCGGAGGUAGAGCUACUGGAUGGCCGAUGGGCCCUACAAGGUUACUGACGUCAGCCAAACUCCGAAUGCCGGUAAGUGAGAGCGCAGCAGUGAGACUGUGGGGGAUAAGCUUCAUAGUCGAGAGGGAAACAACCCAGACCACCAACUAAGGUCCCAAAGCGCGUGCUAAGUGGGAAAGGAUGUGGAGUUGCUUUGACAACCAGGAGGUUGGCUUAGAAGCAGCCACCCUUGAAAGAGUGCGUAAUAGCUCACUGGUCAAGUGAUUCCGCGCCGACAAUGUAACGGGGCUCAAGCACGCCACCGAAGUUGUGGCAUUGACAUUAUUGGUAGGCCUUCGUGGUCCAGCCGUGUUGAUGGGUAGGAGAGCGUCGUGUGGCCAGCGAAGCGGCGGUGUGAACCAGCCGUGGAGGCCACACGAGUGAGAAUGCAGGCAUGAGUAGCGAAAGACAUGUGAGAAACAUGUCCUCCGAAAGACCAAGGGUUCCAGGGUCAAGCUAAUCUUCCCUGGGUAAGUCGGGACCUAAGGCGAGGCCGACAGGCGUAGUCGAUGGACAACGGGUUGAUAUUCCCGUACCGGCGAAGAACCGCCCAAGCUAAUCCAGUAGUGCUAAGUAUCUGAAUCCCAUUGACGGAUCCCUUCGGGGUGAAGCGUUGGGCCUAGCGUACGACCCCAUUCUGGUGCGGUUAGCGUAUUAACAGGUGUGACGCAGGAAGGUAGCCCAACCCGGGCGAUGGUUGUCCCGGGGCAAGUGCGUAGGCCGAGAGAUAGGCAAAUCCGUCUCUCACAUAGGCUGAGACACGAUGCGGAUAAAAAUUGGGUGAUCCUAUGCUGCCAAGAAAAGCAUCGACGCGAGGUUCUAGCCGCCCGUACCCCAAACCGACUCAGGUGGUCAGGUAGAGAAUACCAAGGAGAUCGAGAGAAUCGUGGUUAAGGAACUCGGCAAAAUGCCCCCGUAACUUCGGGAGAAGGGGGGCCUUCGACGUAUUAGGACUUGCUCCGAAAGCGUUUGGAGGCCGCAGAGACUAGUGGGUAGCGACUGUUUAUUAAAAACACAGGUCCGUGCCAAGUCGCAAGACGAUGUAUACGGACUGACGCCUGCCCGGUGCUGGAAGGUUAAGAGGACCGGUUAGCCGCAAGGCGAAGCUGAGAAUUUAAGCCCCAGUAAACGGCGGUGGUAACUAUAACCAUCCUAAGGUAGCGAAAUUCCUUGUCGGGUAAGUUCCGACCUGCACGAAUGGCGUAACGACUUCCCAACUGUCUCAACCGCGAACUCGGCGAAAUUGCACUACGAGUAAAGAUGCUCGUUACGCGCAGCAGGACGGAAAGACCCCGUGACCUUUACUACAGCUUGGUAUUGGUGUUCGGUGUGGCUUGUGUAGGAUAGGUGGGAGACUUUGAAGCAGGGACGCCAGUUCUUGUGGAGUCAUUGUUGAAAUACCACUCUGGUCACUCUGGAUAUCUAACUUCGAACCGUAAUCCGGUUCAGGGACAGUGCCUGGUGGGUAGUUUAACUGGGGCGGUUGCCUCCCAAAAAGUAACGGAGGCGCCCAAAGGUUCCCUCAACCUGGUUGGCAAUCAGGUGGCGAGUGUAAGUGCACAAGGGAGCUUGACUGUGAGACUGACAGGUCGAGCAGGGACGAAAGUCGGGACUAGUGAUCCGGCAGUGGCUUGUGGAAGCGCUGUCGCUCAACGGAUAAAAGGUACCUCGGGGAUAACAGGCUGAUCUUGCCCAAGAGUCCAUAUCGACGGCAUGGUUUGGCACCUCGAUGUCGGCUCGUCGCAUCCUGGGGCUGGAGUAGGUCCCAAGGGUUGGGCUGUUCGCCCAUUAAAGCGGUACGCGAGCUGGGUUUAGAACGUCGUGAGACAGUUCGGUCCCUAUCCGCUGCGCGCGUAGGAAAUUUGAGAGGAUCUGACCCUAGUACGAGAGGACCGGGUUGGACGAACCUCUGGUGUGCCAGUUGUUCUGCCAAGAGCACCGCUGGUUAGCUACGUUCGGGAUGGAUAACCGCUGAAAGCAUCUAAGCGGGAAGCCGGCCUCAAGAUGAGAUUUCCAUGCCUUCGGGCGAGAGGCUCCCAGCCAGACUACUGGGUUGAUAGGCCGGAUGUGGAAGCGCGGUAACGCGUGAAGCUGACCGGUACUAAUAAGCCGAUGACUUGAUAAC